ACCCUGCACAUAGCAGGGGGGUUGAAACUGGAUGAUCAUUGUGGUCCUUUUCAACCCAGCAAUUCAUGAUUCUAUGAUUCUAUGCGUCUGUCCAGGUGAAAGAAGCCAAGCUUCCCUUACGUAGCUUAGAAUCUGACCUUGUCAAUAGCACUUAUUUGUAUCAUUUUUAUCCACCGAUUGAGUGAACUUCCUAAAUGGAGUCCUUUCAAAAAUCACUCCAUGUUAUGAUGCUUUGUUUUGUUACAGGACACGUACAAAGUCAAAGCUACUUUGACAAGGGGCAGCUGUGCCCAUCAGUACUCUUGCAGGCAUUCUUGGGUCAGCUGAAGGUAGGUGUGAACCAUGUGCUGUGCUGGGUGCAAAAGCGCUUGCUGUAGAGUCGAAUGAAGAUGACAACACUCUGGAAGGAGUUUGGUGAUGAUAAUGGGCAACUUCUUGCUUCUUGACAGAAACUCUAUAAAUCGGCGGUAAAUAAUUAUCAUAUGGCUUAAGAGUUGUUUGCAUGUUCGCACAUUGACUGCCUGCAGGUACGUACACACCUCCGCUCUCAGUUCUGCAGUGCUGUCAAACCAGCAAUAACAAAUGUAAUGAGCCUGCUGGGAGCUGCAAACUCUGUGUACGUGCCUGCAUCGCACCUUCUUUUGGCCUUGGUCCACUCCUC
ensembl:lncRNA